GAUGAACGCUGGCGGCGUGCUUAACACAUGCAAGUCGAACGGGAAACCUUUUAUUGAAGCUUCGGCAGAUUUAGCUGGGUUCUAGUGGCGGACGGGUGAGUAACGCGUGGGUAACCUGCCUUAUACAGGGGGAUAACAACCAGAAAUGGUUGCUAAUACCGCAUAAGCGCACAGGACCGCAUGGUCCGGUGUGAAAAACUCCGGUGGUAUAAGAUGGACCCGCGUUGGAUUAGCUAGUUGGCAGGGUAACGGCCUACCAAGGCGACGAUCCAUAGCCGGCCUGAGAGGGUGAACGGCCACAUUGGCACUGAGACACGGCCCAGACUCCUACGGGAGGCAGCAGUGGGGAAUAUUGCACAAUGGCGGAAACCCUGAUGCAGCUACGCCGCGUGAAGGAAGAAGUAUCGCGGGAUGUAAACUUCUAUCAGCAGGGAAGAUAGUGACGGUACCUAACUAAGAAGCCCCGGCUAACUACGUG
rnacentral:rRNA from 1 species